UACGUAGGCAGCGAGCGUUGUCCGGAAUUAUUGGGCGUAAAGAGCUCGUAGGCGGUUUGUCGCGUCUGCUGUGAAAACCUAAGGCUCAACCUUGGGCUUGCAGUGGGUACGGGCAGACUAGAGUGCGGUAGGGGUGACUGGAAUUCCUGGUGUAGCGGUGGAAUGCGCAGAUAUCAGGAGGAACACCGAUGGCGAAGGCAGGUCACUGGGCCGCAACUGACGCU
rnacentral:rRNA from 1 species